GAUGAACGCUAGCUACAGGCUUAACACAUGCAAGUCGAGGGGCAGCGGGAUUGAAGCUUGCUUCAAUUGCCGGCGACCGGCGCACGGGUGAGUAACGCGUAUCCAACCUUCCGUACACUCAGGGAUAGCCUUUCGAAAGAAAGAUUAAUACCUGAUGGUAUGAUGAGAUUGCAUGAUAGCAUCAUUAAAGAUUUAUCGGUGUACGAUGGGGAUGCGUUCCAUUAGGUAGUAGGCGGGGUAACGGACCACCAAGACGACGAUCAGUAGCCGGCUUGAGAGAGUGAACGGCCACAUUGGGACUGAGACACGGCCCAAACUCCUACGGGAGGCAGCAGUGGGGAAUAUUGCACAAUGGGGGAAACCCUGAUGCAGCAACGCCGCGUUGAAGUGAAGAAGUA
rnacentral:rRNA from 1 species